rnacentral:rRNA from 1 species
UCGGGAAUUUUGGGCAAUGGGCGAAAGCCUGACCCAGCAACGCCGCGUGAGGGAUGAAGUAUUUCGGUAUGUAAACCUCGAAAGAAUGGGAAGAAUAAAUGACGGUACCAUUUAUAAGCUCCGGCUAACUACGUGCCAGCAGCCGCGGUAAUACGUAGGGAGCAAGCGUUGUUCGGAUUUACUGGGCGUAAAGGGCGCGUAGGCGGCGCGGUAAGUCACUUGUGAAAUCUCUGAGCUUAACUCAGAACGGCCAAGUGAUACUGCUCUGCUAGAGUGCGGAAGAGGCAACCGGAAUUCUUGGUGUAGCGGUGAAAUGCGUAGAUAUCAAGAGGAACACCUGAGGCGAAGGCGGGUUGCUGGGCCGACACUGACGCUGAUGCGCGAAA